AAAGAAAAUUAAAGCUUUAUUGAUAAUCGGAUAAAUAUUACAAAGUUAUAUUACAUAUGACAUACAUGAAUAAUUAAUAAGAGAAUACAUUCUUGGAUUGUAAAGAAUUCGGGAAAGAUAACCUAAACUAAAUUAUCUAUUCUUCCUAUACUAUCAUAUCUAAGAUCUUGAUUUUAAUCUUGAUCUUCUUCUUUUCUUCAAAACCUGCAACCAUAAACACUAGAGAGAGUGGGUUAGGAUUAGUAUGUAGCAUAUAUCCUGUCAAGUGACAGUAGAUAUAAGCCACUGUUCAGCCUCAGAAUAAAGCCAGGAGUAGAUAUAGAUCAAACCCACCCGGCCAGGACCAAGUAACCAAGCAAUUAGCCACCCAUCAGCUUACAAGAUAGGCAUCAAGGAGAGCUUGACAACAGCAAGCAGCUGCUGUCAACACCACCAGCACCAGAGACUCACGCAAGGACAGCACUAGCAGCACACACAACAAGCACACAGCUGAGUCACCCGUCCAGAGCACUAUAAAUAGAGCAACCCAGCCGUAGUGAGAGUUUGAUAGCCACUGGUACAACUGAACCAAACAGGAGUUGGACCAAACCCAAACCUGAGAAUUAGUGUGAAGCAGCGAGGAGGUGCAGGCUAACCACAAGAAGAAGGAUAACCAAAGCCUCGAGACCAAGCUACUCAGCACCAGAGGUAGGAUUGGAGUGAUGGAAUCCUCAGGCGUGCACAGAAAUGUUGUGUCAUGCAUCACAGGAUUUGUAGGAGUUCUUGGAGCCACAAAAAUAACUUUAGAACCCAGAGAGGCCUCAGACCAGCAUCAUAAGCAAUAAGAUCAGGCAACAUCUGUUCUUAUCAGUUUAAUAGAAGAGAGAGGGAUAGAAAAAUAGACAAGAAAGCAGAAUAUAGCCAAGAGAAGCAGUAUCUAUUCUUAAGUAGAGUAAAGAUAGCAUAGAAGAAAUAGAUAGGUUAGCACCCAACUGAAUAUCUGCUUCUGCAGAACACUGCACUCCACUUACACAUGGUAUUUUUCUGAAAAUAGGACACCACAUCCACCAGCACAUGGGCUAGUAUCAUUAGCAGUGCUGCUGUAAGUAUAUAUAAUAGCAGUAACCUGUAACAACAAGUAUAAUUAGCUAUUACCCGAAGGUCAGCCGGACCAAUGGAAAUAGACAGAAUUAAGUAACCAACUCCAGGAACUAGAGUAGCAUAUUCAGUUAAUCAACUUGCAGUGGGAAGUACAGCAAGUGAAAUCAAGUAGACAAAGACAAUAGGAUUAGUGUACCGAACCAGGGAGCUUCAUAACUAAAGAAUCCUUCAGUUAACACGAAUAGCAGAGCCACAUAGGAGCAAACAACAUAUUAAGCACUUUGCUCCUGACCAACUUAGCAAAUCCAGAGCAAUCAUAUACCACCAGACCAUCACGUGAGCACAGAAAUAAAGCAAAUACACAUGGGCAGCUACUGACAGACCCUAGAACGGCAUGAAUUUAUCACCAGAGAGCUCCAGUAGGAGUUGAUGCUUGAUUACAACAUCUAGCAGCAACUAGUAGAAUCCCACAUCCAACCCAAAUCAUGGCCAAGGCCAUGCAUGAGCAAAAUCAAUGGAGAAGGAACCGGGAGGACCUCACCAGAGGGAGAUUGUAGCCAUAGCUGUAGCUCAGCCACACAACGGUUGUGGUGUGACCAUCACCACAUCCAGGAGAGGGUCUGGAGGCCGCCGGAGCACAACCACGACGACCAGGGCGAGCGCCGGGCACGGUGGCGCCACCCCGAGGGCAUCACCGCACGGAGACGCCACCCCAGGGGCACCAACGCAUCACGGUGAGCCGCUGGAGGUGCCGGAUGAAACCCCGCGACGCCCGAAGGGCCGUCGGCGACAAGACCCGCCUGGGGUGAGCCGCUGGAGGUGCCGGAUGAAACCCCGCGACGCCCGAAGGGCCGUCGGCGACAAGACCCGCCUCCACCACCGGAACCCUAGCGAGGAAAUAGUUGGGGACGACCACAGGAGGGAGGAAAAGUAGAUCGAUGCGGCGGAGCUGGUAGAGCUCGCCAAGGAGCAGCAAUGGGUGUGCUGGGAGGCGCCGGAGCUCACCGGAGCGGCCAGAAUCGGCCGGCGACCCAGGCGGCGACAGCGGGGAUCGAGCGAGAGAAGUACGAGAGGAAAAGAGCUGAGCGAGAGAUAGAGUCGAGUGCGUGUGCGCAUUCUGGAAUACUCUAGCCAGCGUGCGUACGUGUUGGGCUGAACCCAACCAUGGUGUGCGUACAUGUGUAUUGAACCAGGCCACCAAACCAAUACACGUGUGUGCUACCUCAAGCCCUUGGAUUAAUUCACGUAUAAUCCCC
rnacentral:lncRNA from 1 species